CAGCAUGUGACUGUGGUGUGGGACUUGUUAAAACUGAAGGGUAAGAAAAUGGUGAGGGAUUAUCUAAAAGCUCAGAGGUAACUGAACUUUAAUACCUUCUAAAAUCCACAUCUAGAAACAGAGCUGGGGAGAGUUCCCAAAGUUAUCAAGAUAACUUCUGUCAUUUUCACAGCCACCUGCAGUGAGCCCUUUGAAACUGAGCAGUCUGAGGACAGAAAACAUUUAUGGCUCUGGAGGAGGAAAAGAUGUGCACCAGGAAAAUGUGUCCUCUGAACUGAGAGUAUGGAGAGAGCAGCAGAAGAGGUGCCUGCAAACAGGUCAGCAAGAACAAGCCAGCCAAGCAUCAAAGGUAAUUCUUAAUCAUGAGGAAGAGGGUGAAAACUGCAGCCUGACUGACAGCUCUGAAGAUGAGUUGAGGAAGGCCUAUGAUGAGGACCUCGUUGAAAGGAUUUCACUUGAUUCUUCUUGCCACUCCAGUCUCUCCAAGUCUUCCUCAGGUUCAUCACAGACUCAGGAGGGUGCAGUGUUCUCCAACCCAAGCCCUUGUUUAAUUCCAUCCCCUCCAAAAAGCCCUUCACCUGCAUCUUUAAUGAGUGUUGCAGCAAGAUCCUGGAAAACAAGAAACCACAGGGUAAGAUGCCUAAAAAUACCCAGCCAAGAGGAGGACAGGCAGUGUACACAGCGAUGCCAGUCAAGGGCUCAUAAAGAAAAUUCAGCCCAGCCUUUGGACGAAGAACUUGCUUUCCUGAGCCUGCACAAGAUGCUGUCUGCCUCCGGAUCCCAAAGGCAGCACCAGCCUGCUGGCUGCACCAGCCAGCAAAGGCCUAUUCCAGGACCAACAGCUGUUGGAUCAACAAGGAUCAGGUAUGUGCACUGCUGACAGCAGUGCCUGCAAUGUGUCUGGGGAAAACAGAAGGGACUUCACGGCAGGAAAAAGCAGACUUCUGUGUUGUCUAUGGGGUCUACUCCCUGUUCUGUAAAGAGAAUUCCUUUUAUUUGUGCUGACAUUUACCUUUGUCUGUCUAAUGCUAAAUGAAACAUUUUCUCAUGUUCCUUAUAGCUUGAGUGUUAGAAAUUUUGUAUUUUCUUGAAUAAUAGCCCAGAAUUUUGCUGUGUUCUUAUUGAUCCAUUCUCAUGUUCCUUGCACAGAGCCAAUGCUGUGUUUGUUGCACAGCUCUUGUGUCGUUUGUUCAAGACUCUCCUCGAGUAAACUCCAGGACAAGUUCCUGACAUCCCACUUAGGUUUUUUUCCGUGACAUGAAUUCACAUUAGAAUGAGCUCUGGAAAAUAAAAUAGGCAUUAGAGAAGUGUCA
rnacentral:lncRNA from 1 species